GAGUGAAGCGGCUACAGCUCAAAUUUGAAAAUCUGGCCUCCUUUGGUGGUCCGAGUUGUAAUUUGCAGAGGAUGCUUUGGCAUUGGCGGCGGUCUAAGUUCCUUGGAACAGGACAUCGCAGAGGGUGAGAAUCCCGUACGUGGGCGCCUGCCUUUGCCGUGUAAAGCUCCUUCGACGAGUCGAGUUGUUUGGGAAUGCAGCUCUAAAUGGGAGGUAAAUUUCUCCUAAAGCUAAAUACCGGCCAGAGACCGAUAGCGCACAAGUAGAGUGAUCGAAAGAUGAAAAGUACUUUGGAAAGAGAGUCAAAUAGCACGUGAAAUUGUUGAAAGGGAAGCGCUUGCAGCCAGACUUGCCCGCAGUUGCUCACCCAGGCUCUCGCCUGGGGCACUCUUCUGCGGGCAGGCCAGCAUCAGUUUGGGCGGUCGGAUAAAGGCUCCUGUCAUGUACCACCCCUCGGGGUGGCCUUAUAGGGGGGGCGUAAUGCGACCAGCCCGGACUGAGGUCCGCGCAUCUGCUAGGAUGCUGGCGUAAUGGCUGUAAGCGGCCCGUCUUGAAACACGGACCAAGGAGUCUAACAUCUAUGCGAGUGUUUGGGUGUCAAGCCCGGGCGCGCAAUGAAAGUGAACGGAGGUGGGAACCUUUCGGGGUGCACCAUCGACCGAUCCUGAUGUCUUCGGAUGGAUUUGAGUAAGAGCAUAGCUGUUGGGACCCGAAAGAUGGUGAACUAUGCUUGAAUAGGGUGAAGCCAGAGGAAACUCUGGUGGAGGCUCGCAGCGGUUCUGACGUGCAAAUCGAUCGUCAAA
rnacentral:rRNA from 1 species